GGGACGGAAGCAGGGAGCCUGGGGCUGAGAUUCUGGGCACAGGCCCAGAGGAAAGGAUCCCUCACGCUCCCAUCGUCCCCCCAGGCUUUGGAGAGGGUGGAAAACCCCAGAAGCCAGACCUGAGAGGACUACAGCCUCAGACAUCAGGCCCCGCCACUCAAAACGGCUAUGGACCAGGUAGGAGUGGGG